rnacentral:rRNA from 1 species
UACGUAGGGGGCAAGCGUUGUCCGGAUUUAUUGGGCGUAAAGAGCGUGUAGGCGGUUAGGUAGGUCCGUUGUGAAAACUCGAGGCUCAACCUCCAGACGUCGACCGAAACCAUCUGGCUAGAGUCCGGAAGAGGAGAGUGGAAUUCCUGGUGUAGCGGUGAAAUGCGCAGAUAUCAGGAAGAACACCCGUGGCGAAGGCGGCUCUCUGGGACGGUACUGACGCUGAGACGCGAAAGCGUGGGGAGCGAACAGG